rnacentral:rRNA from 1 species
UGAGGAAUAUUGGGCAAUGGGGGAAACCCUGACCCAGAGACGCCGUGUGAGUGAUGAAGGCCUUAACUGGUUGUAAAGCUCUGUCAGAGGGGAUAAUAAUGAUAUUACCCUCAGAGGAAGUACCGGCUAACUCUGUGCCAGCAGCCGCGGUAAUACAGAGGGUGCUAGCGUUGUUCGGAAUUAUUGGGCGUAAAGGGUGCGUAGGCGGUCUUAUAAGUCAAUUGCGAAAUUCUGGAGCUUAACUCCAGCGCUGCAAUUGAUACUGUAAAACUAGAAUAUGGAAGGGGUAGAUGGAAUUUUCAGUUUAGUAGUGAAAUACGUAGACACUGAAAGGAACACCAGAGGCGAAGGCGAUCUACUAGGACAUUAUUGACGCUGAGGCACGAAAGCGUGGGUAGCA